ensembl:lncRNA
CAUCAACUACCACAAGGAUAGGUGUCUGCCAUCAGAUCCCUCACUACAGACUGCAUGCUGACGGACUUCACUGGGCCUGCUACCUGAGACUUGCUUCUUCCUCCUGGACUUACUCUGCGGCUUCUUCCUGGACCCACCCGGUACCUGCACCCUCUCGUUGCCCAAGACCGGCCUCGCUGCUCCCGCCCUUUGGCCUCGGACCAUCGGAACAGCAUGUAACAGACCGCUGCUGGAUCUUGCUGAAAGAGACUUACCGGUUGGCUUCACUUUUCAAUAAGCCCAGGUUACUAGCACCACCACCGCAGCAGCAAGGCAGCCACAUGGCAAUAUGUUCACCUGGACAGCAGCUGUAAUCAUUUCACAAAUCUCACAGCUCAGCCAGUGUAAGGAGGGGCAACUGAUAGAGUGUCAAUGGUUGGUUCUCUAGUUGAACUGCUGGGCUUGUUGCAAGGAUUGGAGUGACCACAGAACUGGCUGUGAGAGUCAUGGCACCUACAAAGCCCAUCAGAAGUGUUAAUGGAGGAGCUGAAGCAAACAUAAGGCUUGUUGCAGGAACUGGAGCAACCACAGGGAUGUACCUCUCACAGGAAAUGUUUCUUCUUUGUCUCAUGGCAAUACUUGGAACUGCCACAAGACCCACAGCAGGAGGAACCAUAGGACUGAUUACAAGUGCUGGAGUGACAGCAGAGUCUGUCACAAUUUUCAGAGCAAUGCAGGACCUGUUGCAGGAAUUUGAGAUGCUGCAGGGUCUAUAACAGGAGCUGAGGGGUCUUCAGCAUUGUCAUCACAUCCAGAAGUAUUCUCCUUCUUGAGAGUGCUAAAUAGUAUUGAACAGUGCUUGGAGAAAGAAUAAUGUGAGAGAGAUUUAACAACACACAAAGACAAUUGCUUAUAACUUGACCAUUAAAAGAAAAAUGGAUGAAGAGGAUGCACUGUGAAAUAACAAGAGAUGGUUCCUGCAUUUCACUGGAAAAAUGUUAGGAAAGCAGUUCUUAAGAAACCCUCAGUAUCCUGGUGCAAGAGUAGCUUGUGAUACAUCCUUGAUGUAGUUUAUUAGAGACACAGAGUAUAAGGAAAUAUUCCAGCAUGCAGAAGACUUCUGGGCUUCAUCAGUAUGAAAAGGAGGGCAAAUAGUUCAACAGAGCUGAAACUCUAUGAGGUGCCACAGUUGAGGUUUCACCUUGUACCUUACCUAAGAGAAAGCACCUGUACAUAAACAGAAGGUAUAAAUUCAUUGCAGGCUCCCUUUUCUUUACAGAUCCUGCCUCACUGCAGCUCUACACAACAUGGCUGCAGAUAUCCACAGCACAUAUCAGUGUAACACUGCCAUUCCCCUUCUCCCCUUCCUGCAGUUUUGUCUCACGUACUCAAAGAAAC